rnacentral:rRNA from 1 species
GUUGCAGUUAAAAAGCUCGUAGUUGGAUUUCUGGUAGGAUGACUGUGCCCUCAGUAGAGUGUGCGCUGGCGUCUUGCCAUCCUUCUGUUAACCUUUGGGAGCUUCACCGCUCCCUUUGGGGCUCAGAUAUUUUACCUUGAGAAAAUUAGAGUGUUUCAGGCAGGCUAGCGCCGGAAUACAUUAGCACGGAAUAAUGGAAUAGGACUUUUGCCUCUUCUGUUGGUCAUGGGGUUCGAGUAAUGAUUAAUAGGGAUAGUUGGGGGCAUUAGUACUUCACUGUCAGAGGUGAAAUUCUCGGAUUUGUGAAAGACUAACUUAUGCGAAAGCCUUUG